rnacentral:rRNA from 1 species
UACAGAGGUCCCGAGCGUUGUUCGGAUUCACUGGGCGUAAAGUGUGCGCAGGCGGCCGCGCAAGUCGAGUGUGAAAGCCCCGGGCUUAACUUGGGAAUUGCGCUCGAAACUACGUGGCUAGAGUGUGGCAGAGGGAGGUGGAAUUCCACGUGUAGCGGUGAAAUGCGUAGAGAUGUGGAGGAACACCGAUGGCGAAGGCAGCCUCCUGGGCCAACACUGACGCUCAUGCACGAAAGCGUGGGGAGCAAACAGG